rnacentral:rRNA from 1 species
GACGAACGCUGGCGGCGUGCUUAACACAUGCAAGUCGAACGAUGAACCCGGAGCUUGCUCCGGUGGAUUAGUGGCGAACGGGUGAGUAACACGUGAGUAACCCGCCCUUGACUCUGGGAUAACUGCGGGAAACUGUAGCUAAUACCGGAUACGACCCUCGGCGGCAUCGCCAGGGGGUGGAAAGAAUUUCGGUCAAGGAUGGACUCGCGGCCUAUCAGCUAGUUGGUGAGGUAACGGCUCACCAAGGCGACGACGGGUAGCCGGCCGGAGAGGGUAACCGGCCACACUGGGACUGAGACACGGCCCAGAUUCCUACGGGAGGAAGCAGUGGGGAAUAUUGCACAAUGGGCGCAAGCCUGAUGCAGCAACGCCGCGUGAGGGAUGACGGCCUUCGGGUUGUAAACCUCUUUUAGUAGGGAAGAAGCGAAAGUGACGGUACCUGCAGAAAAAGCACCGGCUAACUACGUGCCAGCAGCCGCGGUAA